rnacentral:ncRNA from 1 species
GUGUCGUAUGAAAGGAGAGAAGUUCCACUCCCUUGAUAGAGAUGGAAGAAGCCCUUGGGUCCUUGGNUUUAAUAACACAUGGACAGUUAAGGCAUUGCCACAUGCUUUGUGGCAUCUAACCACUGUUGUAC